AUCACCUUGGGGUCUUAUAAAUAUGCAGAUUGUGAUUCGGUAAGUCUUGGAUGUGGCCAAGAUUCUGCAUUUCUAAUAAGUUCCCAGGUGAUGCCAA
rnacentral:pre_miRNA from 1 species